GCCAUCUUGUAUAGUACUCACCACGUCAUUCAAACUCCGCUCUUUCUUGGAAAACGAGAUCCUGAAUAUGGAGUGCUUUUUUUUGUGCCCUCGGAUAUAUGGUGGCGAAUAUCCUACUGCUGGUCUCCCAAUGACGCAAGAACUAGGGCCAACGGUGGGCCUUGUUGAACGCUCCAGAGCCAUCCCUGCGACACUCUAGGGUUCAACCGACAGGGAGAGGAUUGGAGUCAUCAGUGAACGAGGUGCAAAUAAUACUAUGGACCGUUUCAAAUGUUUUGAUUUUCGCUGAUUUAAAGUUCUGUCAGUGGCCGGGUGGGUGGAAAUAGAAAUUAUUCUCCACCCCGCUCACCGCACUUUCCAUUCAUUGCUAGUGCUGAAACCAAGUUUCUCGUGCAGGGUUCGUCCCGAAGGUAAAAGGGAAGCGGGGGAAAAAGAAAACAAACAAAAAAGGUUUGUUCCAUGGAUUUAAAAUGUUACUUUUAACAACGAAUACCAAUAAAA
rnacentral:sRNA from 1 species